AAAGAUUCUAUCCAACUUGUCUUAGAAUAUGUACCUUGAGAACAAACUUUUAGUAAAAUGAUUUUAUAUUGUGAAAAUGUGCUAUACAAUGGUUUAUGUGUUAUCACAAUAUGAUAAAAUGCAUGAUAUGCAUUGGAUGCUUCUUUGCAUGUUGAUGUGGACUCGGCUAUGUGCAAGUAGGAGUGCACAUAAGCCGUUGUUGACCCGACUAUGUGCGAGUGGGAGUGAACAUAAGCCAUUGCUGACUUGGCUAUGUGCGAGUAGGGAGUGCGCAUAACCCGAUUAUGACCCGAUUAUGUGCGAGUAGGGAGUGUGCAUAACCCGAUUAUGUGCGAGUAGGGAGUGCGCAGGAGUUGGGAAUGAUGAUGAUGGGAUGGUGUGCAUGAUGAUAAUGAUGGGAUAGUGUGCAUGAUGAUGAUGGGUAUAUGGUUGUGAAUGCAAAUAUGUGAGCAUUCGAUUUGUUGAAAUUUGGGAGUUUACAUGUGUUACAUGUUGCUAUUGUUAUUUUAGUUGGAUGGCUUGUUUUAAGGGCAAAAGAGACUUUUUCCUUGAUGUUUUGAUCCUCGCUGCAACGAGAUUCAUUCUCGCUACAGCGAGAAACUCUCGGGUUUGAGGGCCUUCACCAGACCUGGUUUUCGCUUCAACGAGAAUGAAGUUCGCUGCAGCGAGAAACUUUCUGUCCAUUUUGCUAACUUGUGGGUUUUUGCCAUAUUUCCCAUUUCUUUGGUACCAUAGUUGAGCAUGGAUCUUUGUAAAGUGAUUUACUCAUGUGGGGUUUACAUGAGGGGUUUAAAAGAGCCAAAACAAUUGCAUUAUUUUGAGAAAAUGAAUGCAUCAUGAUUUCGUUAAACAUUCCUUAUGAUAUGCUUGUUCCCUUUCUUGUUCACUCACUGAGUUUAUGCUCACUGCUUUCAAGUUCAUGUUUUCAGAUUACGAGGCAACUGGUAACUAGGUCGAGGUACUUUUGUAGACUCGACUAUUGGUAGGUGUCUCGGCAUUUAGUAGCUGUACAUUCGUUAAGUUUCUCCGCUGGACAUCAAGUCUUCUUUUGUUAUGUAUAGACGAACCUAAUGUGAAUUAUUAAGAUACAUGUUGUAGACAGUGUAUAUACACUUGUUUGGUAUGCUAGUAUGAGGGGCAAUGUUCAAUAUUAUUUCGAUUCUAAGUUAUGAUAUGUAACUUAGAAGUUUAUGAUGGAAUGAUGAAUAUGUUAGAUUAAUAGGCUUGCUUGGGCUUAGUGGACUACAUCCAUUGGGUCCAUGGGCCGGUCAUGGCCCGAAAUUUGGGUCGUGACAUUUACCAUGAUACUAAAUGUUAGCAACCAUGCCCAGAGUCACUCCGCUAACGGUCAAGGUCUAAUUAUAUGUAUAUGAAUGCUUGAUGUGAAAUGCUAAGACUCAUUUGUCAAGCUAUAUAUGUAUAUUAUGGUUGAUGAUGCCAUUUUGAAUACAUAAUUGGGUC
rnacentral:lncRNA from 1 species